CACCUGACCGUCACAGGUGGGCCCAAGUCUGCGCCCUCGGUCAGUCUGUUCCCGCCCUCCAAGGAGGAGCUCAGCGCCAACAAGGCCACACUGGUGUGUCUCGUCAGUGACUUCUACCCCAGCGGCGUGACGGUGGCCUGGAAGGCAGACGGCACCACCAUCACCCAGGGCGUGGAGACCACCAAGCCCUCGAAACAGAGCAACAACAAGUACGCGCUCAGCAGCUACCUGACGCUGACACCUGACAAGUGGAAAUCUCACAGCAGCUUCAGCUGCCUGGUCACGCACGAAGGGAGCACCGUGGAGAAGAAAGUGGCCCCCUCAGAGUGUUCUUAGGUCCCUGACCCUCCCCCACCCUCGGGGGCCUGGAGUCAAAGGACCCC